GCGAGUUGUACCUUCGUAGACCGGGGGCAGACCCUCGCAGUACCAGGCC
rnacentral:tRNA from 1 species